AAAAAAAACCCUAUAUAAUGCAACAUUAAACUUGGUCUUAUCACCCUACCUACGCUCACGCAAGAAUGGAUCAUCCAGCGCAGUCAACGUCAGCCUGAACCAACCCAAAAUAUAAGCUGAUAAAUAGGCAAUCUCCUAAAACAACAAGAACAGCAACCAGCCCUCCACGCCGACGUGUCCUACUUACACUCACAAGUUCGGUGGGCCCCACUUUAGUUUCGUCGAACAUUAUAUCACCAAGGACAAGGAGGCUGUUUGCUGCCGGCCAAGACUCAGCUGAGCUCUACCCUUCCAUACGCCCCCUGAAAUGGACCGAAUCACAAGCGACAGGCACCAGGAAAUUUCCCUGCAAUUACAGCUGGCCCGGCCCUGGUCCACGAGCGUGGGUCCCAUUGCUUCACGGGGGAGACCUAAAAGAAGCGUAGACGCGUGCAACGCCGGCUGGACCCCUUCCGGAAGCCCCACAGGACCCCACUUAGUUCAGAAGGGACAGGAACAUGUUUUCAUCAUUAAGCAAUCAAACGACCAAUGAUAUCCUUCCCUUGCGAGCUGUCUCUCCUCUGUCUCAUCGAUCUAGAAAAGACCCAUAAAGUUGGUGACUCGGUUCAUGGAAAAGGAGGAUGGUUGCGAAUUUCUUGAGAUUUUAUACGGAUAUCAUUUCACAUCGUGCAGAAAUUAGAAUAACUCCAAGAGGACCAAGACCUAGAUGGAGUCCACGUCUAGUGUAUAAAGCCUUCCAAGUUGCAAUCCUCUGGCCAAGAAAAAUAGACAUGGAAUCACGAAGGGCUCCCUUCUUCUUCCUGCUGCUCCUGGUUUCAAUCCAAUAUCUUCACCUCUCCGGGUUUGCAGAAGCCAGGCCACUGCCGCUGCCCUCGGGGAAACAAGAGAGGCAUGUCAAGGUGCUGGAGUCGCUGGGCCUCCUCUGCCGGUGCUGCGACGGAGUGGGAGGGGAGUGCAGGAGCGCCUGGGAAUCCACCUGCACCAAACUCGACUGCCGUCCCUGGAAAUCUUUGUGAUUUUGGCAUCUCAAUUUUGGUUUUCUGGCCUUGUAAAUAACUUCUGAAGAGUUGGUACUUGAAGCAUCAAGCAAAGCCAUGCAAAUGCCUUCCAUAAUAGCUAGUCUCAAUAGGAUAUGGUGACCUCUGUGAAUUGCACUUGACUAGGAACUUUGGAAUGGUGCAAUUGUUGGGCAAAAUCAGCAUGAUCAUACACAAACAUUACAAAUUGACAUCACAGAAGUUAAUUAGAGCCAUGGGCUUGUUCAAAGAAAACAAAUAAUGAAGUAACGAGAGCAAAAUGUCAGAGGAGAGAAUGGUUACAUAUAAUAGAAGAGGAAGAUGUUGAUUACUUGUC